rnacentral:snRNA from 1 species
GGAUGUGAUGGUGAUCACCCAUUGAUCAUCAGGGUUGAUUCAGCAGAUCAGGCUGGCUAGGCAGGUGGACCCUUCCACCCUCACUACUUCAUAUAUAUCCUUCUCAAAGCUUCAUGCUCAAAGAGGACAACCUCCCCCAUUAAAGGAGAACCAUCUUCAGUCAAGGGUAUAUAUGUAGCUGUGCUUCUGCUAGAACCUCCAAACACACACUCAAGGUCCAUUUGAAAUACUACCAGCAAUGAUGAGAGUUCCUAUUUCUCCACAUCCUCUUCAGAAUUUGAGAUUAUUAGUUGUCUAGUAGUAUUUUACUAUUU